rnacentral:rRNA from 1 species
CAGCCGCCGCGGUAAGACAGAGGAUGCAAGCGUUAUCCGGAAUGAUUGGGCGUAAAGCGUCUGUAGGUGGCUUUUCAAGUCCGCCGUCAAAUCCCAGGGCUCAACCCUGGACAGGCGGUGGAAACUACCAAGCUGGAGUACGGUAGGGGUAGAGGGAAUUUCCGGUGGAGCGGUGGAAUGCGUUGAGAUCGGAAAGAACACCAACGGCGAAAGCACUCUGCUGGGCCGACACUGACACUGAGAGACGAAAGCUAGGGGAGCAAAUGGGAUUAGAGACCCCCGUAGUCCCUGUCUCUUAUAC